CAUCUCCAUCGACAAUGGAAAGCUGAAUGGUUCUUUUCAUCCACAGGACCACACAUACAACUGUUUUACACCACCACCUUAAAAGUUACAGAGCGUUUUUGGCUGAAGAUCUGGGGAACAACCAACCAACAAUCUUAAAUACCUACCACUGACCGAAAUCUGGUUUCACUAGAAGUCAUCACUCUAACAAUGUACAUAACGUAGACUACACCCUCGCCGUCUUCUUCUUCACUUCCGUUGCUUCUUAUAAGCACGAGAGUCUGCUGACGAUGGCUCCACCUGCAUUCAACACACAAAAGAAAACCCAG
rnacentral:lncRNA from 1 species